CACCACUCUCUGUCACCAUCAUAAUGGAAAUUUUGCUCUCAGUAUGGAAUUCACAAUUCUCAAUAGUAUAGUUCCCUGAUGUUCAGUGAAUCCAUUCUGGGAGAACAGUAAUAAAGACGAUCUAACAUUACAGGUAGAGAAAGGAAUCACUGAUCUUCAUGAAGAGUCUACAAGAUGAGCAGCUCUCCUUGAUGUCACUUGUGGCUGUGUGGCAGAGUGCUAAACGAUGGAACAAGAGCAGAAGAAAUGAGAUCAGUGACCUCGAAGACCCCCCAACCCCCAUAGAAGCCUUCCACAUGUCCUCCAUCCAUUCACCUUCUGGCUGAAAUUGGGAGCCACAUUUUAAAGCUUGGAAAAGCUGUCAGUCUAAGUGGUUAUGGUAAGAUGCACUCUCCUGAUGGCUAGGAAAACUCACCUUGGAAAAAUAAUUUAAAGGAAAAAAAUUAUGUCUGAACCAUGGCAAACUUGGGAUCAAUCGGUUAUGUAGCUAACAUCAACCUAACUAAUAAUUACAUCCAUGCAAGUCUUCAGCAGAGAAAAAGCCUUCUGAUGACAGAAUUGUCACUGAGCUCAAAUAAGACAUAAAAGACACCGGGAGGAGGCUGUCUACCUGGUAGCAAAGAAACUAAGGGCGUCAGAGUUCCAUUAAUAAAGCCCAGGUAGCUCAACAUUACACUGAUCUUCACUUCCCAAGAAAGAGAACAAUCACAGAUCAUAAAAGAGGCUUAGAGCUAUGUUCUAGAAGGUGUAAUAUCUUGUUAAAUCUAUGCAACCAUUAUGUGAUAGAGACAUUAUCUUUAGCACCAUUUUCAAACUGAGGGAACUGAAACUCAGACCGCUCAGCUGGACAUCAGAUGUGCUGAAACAAUAACAUUUGUGUAGCAAGUUUUUCAUAAUGCAGUAUCAUCACAAGCUCGAUAAACAUCUGCACAGAGUCAUUGGAAACUGAAGACAGGAAGAAUGUAAUUAAUUUUACUGAAGUACACAAUUUAAAAUGUCUACAACUCUUCUGUUACUGAAUUUAAAUAUAGCUUCAA